AACGUCUUUGUGAUGUUUGCAUUCAAGUCACAAAGUUGAACAUUCGCUUUCAUAGAGCAGGUUUGAAACACUCUUUUUGUAGUAUCUGCAACUGGACAUUUGGAGCGCUUUGUGGCCUAUGGUGAAAAAGGAAAUAUCUUCCCAUAAAAACUAGACAGAAGCAUUCUCAGAAACUUGUUUGUGAUGUGUGUACUCAACUGACAGAGUUGAACCUUUCUUUUGAUAGAGCAGUUUUGAAACACUCUUUUUGUAGAAUCUGCAAGUGGAUAUUUGGAUAGCUUUGAGGAUUUCAUUGGAAACAGGAAUAUCUUCAUAUAAAAUCUAGACAGAAGCAUUCUCAGAAACAUCUCUGUGAUGUUUGCAUUCAAGUCACAGAGUUGAACAUUCCCUUUCACAGAGCAGGUUUGAAACACUCUUUUUGUAGUAUCUGGAAGUGCACAUUUGGAGCGCAUUCAGGCCUAAGGUGAAAAAGGAAAUAUCUUCCCAUAAAAACUAGACAGAAGCAUUCUCAGAAACUUGUUUAGGAUGUGUGUACUCAACUAACAGAGUUGAAACUUUC
rnacentral:lncRNA from 1 species